AGUGAACGCUGGCGGUAGGCCUAACACAUGCAAGUCGAACGGCAGCACAGUAAGAGCUUGCUCUUACGGGUGGCGAGUGGCGGACGGGUGAGGAAUACAUCGGAAUCUACUUUUUCGUGGGGGAUAACGUAGGGAAACUUACGCUAAUACCGCAUACGACCUACGGGUGAAAGCAGGGGAUCUUCGGACCUUGCGCGAUUGAAUGAGCCGAUGUCGGAUUAGCUAGUUGGCGGGGUAAAGGCCCACCAAGGCGACGAUCCGUAGCUGGUCUGAGAGGAUGAUCAGCCACACUGGAACUGAGACACGGUCCAGACUCCUACGGGAGGCAGCAGUGGGGAAUAUUGGACAAUGGGCGCAAGCCUGAUCCAGCCAUACCGCGUGGGUGAAGAAGGCAUUCGGGUUGUAAAGCCCUUUUGUUGGGAAAGAAAAGCAGAAGGUUAAUACCCCGCUGUUCUGACGGUACCCAAAGAAUAAGCACCGGCUAACUUCGUG
rnacentral:rRNA from 1 species